AUUGUAGAGGAGAAUUUCUGCUUUGCUGGUCGCCCUGCAUUGGAUGUGAAGAGUGGUUGCUGUAAUUAUGGUGACUAGAACAUUUAGUAAGUUAUCUGAACCCUUAAAGCAUUAUACUUAUAAUAUAUGCUAAACAUGCUAUACCUCUUCUCUUUGCAGAUGGCUGCUGAUGUUCUUUCAAGAUAUCCUUUGGUUGUUGCGGCAUCCUACCCUUUCCAGAUGGAAUUGUUAUUGACACAGUAGCUCCAGACAUCUGCUGUAUUCUUGACAUUUCAG
rnacentral:lncRNA from 1 species